GGCCAGCUGGCCUAAUGGUAAGGCGCUAGAUUUCGGUGAUGCCUCUGCUUUGCAGAUGGUUGUAAUCCCUCUAGAGAUUGCAGGUUCGAAUCCUGCGUUGGUCG
rnacentral:tRNA from 1 species